rnacentral:misc_RNA from 1 species
GAUGAAGAACGUAGCGAAAUGCGAUAAGUAGUGUGAAUUGCAGAAUUCAGUGAAUCAUCGAAUCUUUGAACGCACAUUGCGCCCCUUGGUAUUCCAUGGGGCAUGCCUGUUCGAGCGUCAUUUGUACCUUCAAGCUCUGCUUGGUGUUGGGUGUUUGUCUCGCCUCUGCGCGCAGACUCGCCUCAAAACGAUUGGCAGCCGGCGUAUUGAUUUCGGAGCGCAGUACAUCUCGCGCUUUGACAACAAAACGACGACGUCCAAAAAGUACAUUUUUUACACUCUUGACCUCUGAUCAGGUAGGGAUACCCGCUGAACUUAAGCAUAUCAAUAAGCGGAGGA